GGGGGAAUAUUGGACAAUGGGCGCAAGCCUGAUCCAGCCAUGCCGCGUGAGUGAUGACGGCCUUCGGGUUGUAAAGCUCUUUUGUCCGGGAAGAUAAUGACUGUACCGGAAGAAUAAGCCCCGGCAAACUUCGUGCCAGCAGCCGCGGUAAUACGAAGGGGGCUAGCGUUGUUCGGAUUUACUGGGCGUAAAGCGCACGUAGGCGGCUUGUUAAGUCAGAGGUGAAAGCCUGGAGCUCAACUCCAGAACUGCCUUUGAUACUGGCAAGCUCGAGUAUGGAAGAGGUUGGUGGAACUCCGAGUGUGGAGGUGAAAUUCGUAGAUAUUCGGAAGAACACCAGUGGCGAAGGCGGCCAACUGGUCCAUUACUGACGCUGAGGUGCGAAAGCGUGGGGAGCAAA
rnacentral:rRNA from 1 species